CGGGCAUCCUUGUGGUGUCAGCGGCAGACGGGUGAGUAACGCGUGGGAACGUGCCCUUCGGUUCGGAAUAACUCAGGGAAACUUGAGCUAAUACCGGAUACGUGCGAGAGCAGAAAGGUUUAUCUGCCGAAGGAUCGGCCCGCGUCUGAUUAGCUAGUUGGUGAGGUUAUGGCUCACCGAGGCGACGAUCAGUAGCUGGUCUGAGAGGAUGAUCAGCCACACUGGGACUGAGACACGGCCCAUACUCCUACGGGAGGCAGCAUUGGGGAAUAUUGGACAAUGGGGGCAACCCUGAUCCAGCCAUGCCGCGUGAGUGAUGACGGCCUUAGGGUUGUAAAGCUCUUUUCUCCGGGACGAUAAUGACGGUACCGGACGAAUAAGCCCCGGCUAACUUCGUGCCAGCAGCCGCGGUAAUACGAACGGGGCUAGCGUUGCUCGGAAUCCUGGGCGUAAGGGUGCGUAGGCGGCUGAUUUAGUCGAGGGUGAAACCCGUGGCUCUCCACGGAAUGGGCUUCGAUACUGAUUGGCUUGAGACCGGAAGAGGACAGCGGAACUGCGAGUGUAGAGGUGAAAUUCGUAGAUCUUCGCAAGAACACCAGUGGCGAAGGCGGCUGUCUGGUCAGGAUCUGACGCUAAGGCGCGAAAGCGUGCGGAGCAAACAGGAUUAGAUACCCUGGUAGUCCACGCUGUAGACGAUGAAUGCUAGCCGUUAGGGUGCAUGCACCUCAGUGGCGCCUCCUACGCUAUAAGCAUUCCGCCUGAGGAGUACGGUCGCAAGAGUAAAACUCACAUGAAUUGACCGGC
rnacentral:rRNA from 1 species